UACGAAGGACCCGAGCGUUAUCCGGAUUUAUUGGGUUUAAAGGGUGCGUAGGCGGGUUAUUAAGUCAGUGGUGAAAGCCUACAGCUUAACUGUAGAAUUGCCAUUGAUACUGAUGAUCUUGAGUGUGAUUGAGGUGGGCGGAAUGUGUCAUGUAGCGGUGAAAUGCUUAGAUAUGACACAGAACACCGAUUGCGAAGGCAGCUCACUAAGUCAACACUGACGCUGAUGCACGAAAGCGUGGGGAGCAAACAGG
rnacentral:rRNA from 1 species